AGCGAGAUGGCGCAGCUGGUAGCGCGCUGGGCUCAUAUCCACUUCCAACAUUCGUGUUUAAGCGGAGUUCUACCCAGAGGUCGUCGGAUCGAAACUGACUCUCGCUA
rnacentral:tRNA from 1 species